AGCCCUUGCWGGUGUGUGUGUGUUGGUGUUUUUGAGCAGGCGUGUGUGUUCUUCAGACACAGGAGAGAGCUGCCACCGCCGCACUCAGCCCAGUGGAGGACACCAGGGCCAGAGUGAGAGAAGGAGAGAGAGAAGGGACAUAGAGCCAGGUUGCUAAAAAAAUUAACUCCUCAGGGUUGUUGGAGAGUUGGUCUGGUUUCUACUGGGAAAAGGUUCUAGAGACUGCUAAGAUGUUUUUCCGCAUCCCUCGACUGACCCCUGGAUACAUCAGAUACUUGCAGACUCAAGCUGCCCAGACCGUGCUGCAGAGCCGGGAAGGCCCCAUGAUGUCGAGGGUGGCCAUGCUGCUAGGGCUGAUGGGAGUUGGGAUGUCUGGGUACAGCUCGCGACAGCUCACCCUGCACUGCAAGCCCUCCGCUAACCUGCUGAGAUGAGGCAAGACACAACACCUCUGACCUUCCACCCUGUCGGAGGUCGCCAGACCCCGAGAAGACGACAACAUGGAUAAGAUCGAUCACUGGAGCAUAUCCAACACCCCUGGAUUCCACUUACACUACAARAAUAAUUAGUCUCUGUUUCCUAAAAAGGUUUUGUUUUAGUUUAGUUUUUGUUUGUUACCCUUGCCCCUUUGAUUUCCCCCAUUGUGGUUGAAGUUUGGGACGAACCAAGUUCAGAUUCUUAUUCUGAAAAGUUUGAGAUUGAAGAUCGAUACUUUAAGGUUCCACACGCGCAGUUAUGACCAUAUAAGAUUAUCCCUUCAUUUAAAAAAAAAAAUUGAUAUUCUUUUAAACUACCUCUCCCUUUCAAACCAGUUAAAGUGUUAUUCAGCCAACACACAUCAAUCCAUUCUUAUUGAGCUCUUAAUGUUUUCUUGAGCUGGUAACAUCCUCAACUUUAACCACCCAUUUUMUUUUUUGUAAUUCUGUGCCUUAAAGGGGGCGAUCCAUUAAAAUCAGUUUAAAACACCAAAUGGUGUUACCUCACGCUAACACAAGAAGACCAAAACCCAAGAAAUAAAGACAAUGCAAUGGAGAAAUAUCAAAUAUGUCAAAUAUUUUUCAAACCUGCCGAAAUUCCCCAGUACCUCUGUUUAUUGCCAUUCUCUUGUCUCUGUUUGGCAAGGCAUGUACACAGAGCUUAGCACCUCUGUYUUAGGGAAGGUAUCCAGUGUUUUCCUGAAUAAUGUCAAGCGUGGCAGGAAAGGAGAGCGAAAUCAAAAUGGUAGCAUCUUGGAACUCCGAGAAUCCAGUUGGUUUUAGGGAUUAUAAAAAUGUUUUUUGUCUGUUAUCAUCAAUGCUCUUGAUUCUGGAGACAAGAUUCCUUCAUUUGGGACUUGCUUUACUUUCUUUGUCUGCUAUGUUUGCAUGCAAAGAAAUACAGGAAAAAUCCUUUGACCAAGAUUCAAAAUGUACUCAACCGACCUGCUUCCAAUUGUAUUUUCUAAUUGUCUUUUUUUAUUUGGUCAAGCCCAACUUUUUCCCAUGGAACCUCUUUGAUUUUGCACAGUGAAAAGAUUGACAUUUUCUACAUACAUUCUUUUCACCAAAACACUCUGACACUUUGCACUUUUUUAAGAAUGUUUGUGUGUCUACAUAAUAUGUACAUAAUGUACAUAUUUGAAUAUUUGAAGCUUGAAGAGAUUAGUAGAUGGUUAAGUGACAUGGAAAGUGACGCCAGAUUGGUUUGAGAACUAGUCUGGGUGGAAUCCAGCUGGAUUCACACACAGCACCACAGUUUGGUAUCAGGCAUCCAGGACAGCCACCCUGGAUGGACCUCAAUGGACGAAUGCCACCGUAUGUGUGAAUUCACCGAGAUUCCUCCCAGUUGUCCGCCAUGUUUGUCAGAAUAGCGAUGUUUAGAUUAAUGGCCUUAUGGUCUCUUAACAUAGCUAGCAUGAAAUACUAUUUAUAUUUCCUUUAGAUUCAGAACAUACAAUACACACUUUGUAAUAAGGGAAAGAACUUUAACACGACAGCAUAUGAAUGUAUCACCGACACAAUGAAUGUUUCUUAGUGGUAUACUGUAAUUGUAAACAUGAACGUACUGUAGGUUACUGUGUCAUAACCAUGGGAUCCCACUAGUCUGGUUUAGAGGAAACAGUGGAUGUAACCAGACCUUAGAUUUACACUGGAUUCUCCAAUACAACAGAUUACCAUGCCGUUGGUAGUAGUCCAGUGAUCCAGUCGUCUUCCAGUGAUCCAGUGGUCUUCCAGUGAUCCAAUGGUCUUCCAGUGAAGACAGUCAUUGCUGUUUAAUAAUUAUAGUACACUACAGUACUGUUUGUUUUACAAGGUUACAUUUCAUACCAAAAGGCUUACAAUAGGCCUAUCUUUGUAUUGUUGCUAAAUGUAACAAUGUUGUUUAGGAAUGCCAUAGUGAGUUGAAGCAUUAUGACUGCUUCACAAAGCACCUUUGAAUAUCUAUUCAUAUUUAUUGUUAUGAUACAGCAUGUAUCAAUACUAUGAAUAAAACCUAUAAACUGA